rnacentral:rRNA from 1 species
UACGGAGGAUGCAAGCGUUAUCCGGAAUGAUUGGGCGUAAAGCGUCCGUAGGUGGCGAUUCAAGUCUGCUGUUAAAGCACAGGGCUUAACCCUGUAAAGGCGGUGGAAACUGGCGAGCUAGAGUGUGGUAGGGGUAGAGGGAAUUCCCGGUGUAGCGGUGAAAUGCGUAGAGAUCGGGAAGAACACCAGUGGCGAAAGCGCUCUACUGGGCCGCAACUGACACUGAUGGACGAAAGCUAGGGGAGCGAAUGGG